rnacentral:lncRNA from 1 species
UCUCAAAAAGCAUCUAUCACCAUAUAUUUAGAGUGAAAACUCUCUGAUUUCCCUUACUUGUCAAGCACAUCCAAAUCACUGAUUAUCACGCCGGAGGCGCCUCGCGGGAUGUCACCCCCCGUGUAGCGUUGUUUUGCAGGUUAGGUUUGGCCUGAAGCUUCCCGGAACAGUGCAUUGGAACCCUAGACGAGAUUUGGAGUUAUCA